CAGGAUUAUGAGAUAAGCCACCACAGGCCAAAAUGAGAAUUCUCUAUCCUUUCAUUUUACUCCCCCUCUCUGUCCCUCCAUUUUAUUUGCCACCUCUAUCCCUCCAUUUUAUUUCCCCUCUCUGUCCCUCCAUUUAAUUCCCCUCUCUGUCCUUUCGUUUUAUUUCCCACCUCUAUCCCUCCAUUUUAUUUCCCCUCUCUGUCCUUCCAUUUUACUCCCGCUCUCUGUUCCUCCAUUUUGUUCCCC